AUAUGAGCACCGUUUGGAAAUGCAAAAAAGACCAAAUGUACAGAACCAGUGAUUGUAUUGCAGACGUGAUGCUGCUGAACGUGUGAAUUGGGAGUUUUAAAGCACUCAGCAUUGGGAUCGGAUCACAGAGACAGGGACUGGGAAGGUGAUGCACAGACUCAGAACUGCCUUUCAUGAGACCAUCGCACCGUUUCCAUUUGAAACAGCAGUAUUGACAUAUACUCGUGUCACCAAAACAAGUGUUGUGCGUGUGUGUGUGUGUGUGUGUGUGUGCGCACGUACAUACUGGAGGGUAAGGUUACAAAAUGUCCCUCUUUAGUGUGUGUGUUUGUGUGUGUGUGUUCAUUAUAUUACUGGAUUGUUUUGUUGCUAGGAUGUGAAACCUGUUGAUUUCUCUACAAUGCAACAAAGCCCAUCAUAAUGAACGGGUCAGGACAGUAGCCAAUCAUGUCGCUACAGUCUACAGUACAUACAUGUCCUGAGUACCCUAAUUGUUAGCCUGUGAACUUUGAAAAUAGACUAAUCAUCUACUGCAUGGUUAUGCCUAUGAUAUUCUCAUGUAUUAUUAGAAUAUGAGAAACAGUUAUGUGCAAUAUUCUCUCUCUCUCUUUGUGUGUGUGUGUGUGUGUGUGUGUGUGUGUGUGUUGGUCUAUCGUUGAUUUUUUUUCUCCCCCCUCUCCAUUUCACCUUCUGAUUCAAUGUCUCUGAUUUCCACUGUUUCUUACAGUCGGUCUGUUUUGUUUUCUUAUUGGUAGGUUGUCAGGUCAUGUGAUUUACAGCACAGGUCCUUUAUUUCAGCUGCUCCAGACUCUGUCUUUCAUGUACUCUCGUUAGACAAGAGACCAAAUAUUAAGCUCCUGUGGCAAAAACAAAAAGUUAAAUGCAUACAAAUGAUCUUCCAUUCUAAACAUUGCACAACCUUAGACUUUCUCACAACCUGUGAUGCAAAAUUUAAGUUUUUUUUUUUUUUUUUUUUUAUCCAAUCAGUUCAUUUCAUAAUAAACAGAAUAAAUAAUGACCACAUUUAUAAUAAAUGCAACAUAUUAAACAUUUCAUUGCAAGUUUAUAUAUGUUUUUGUUUUAGAUAUUUUUUCUUCUCACCAUGAAAUCAAAAUUGACAAUUCUUAUUUUGUAUGGAAUUUAGCAGAAUAUUAUUUAUUAUAAAUUAUUUAUCCACGCACAUCAUUAUUUUAAAAUUCAUGUUCCCUCAUAAACUUGAAUCAAAAGAACUUCCCCUCCCUCUUGCAGACAUCUCUUCUCUUCUCUGAUGACAUGUUUACUGGCAUGAGGGCGGGACAAUGAGCCGGUCCUGGUCUUAAUGAGCACCAUUUAUCUGUAAUUCGAAGUAAUAAAAAAAAAAAAAAACUUCUGAAACAUCUUUUUUAUUUAUUUAUUUGCCCUUCAAGUCUUUAACCCCUUGCAUCCAAACACCUUCAUUUUACUGUGAACACUCACUUUUCACAGUCCAAUCAAUUCCUGUUGCAUAAUAUUUAUUUCCUGUCCUACAUUUAUUCUCAUAUAUAAGAUCACCAAAAAAAAAAAGGCUUGUGAACAGCGUUUCAUGUUGACUUUGAGGCUUUCACUUUUUUACUGCAUAUUUUACAGGUUAUUUUGAUUUAUUUAUUUUUUUUAUUUUUUUGCAUUUCUGGUUUUUACUUUUCAUUGGCCUGGUUGUUUUCUCGAAGCAUGUUCGGCCUUAUUUGUGCCCUUCUGAACCGGCAUCUAAAGGCCUCGACGGAGCAAAACUCACGGAAACUCACACAGCUGCACCUGCCAAAUACCUGUGCCCUGAUGAGCAAUUUACAAUGUUAUUUUGGACUUCAUGAGUGACAUGUUUAUUUUUUUCUUUUUACUGUUUUUGAAAUGACUAUAGGAAACACAUUGACAUGUUUAAGCAAAAUAGAUGAAAAAGUACCUCUUUGGUUAAACGUGAAUCUGUGUAUCACAAAGUAAUACAUAUUUGUAUAUACAGAGGUACAGUGCAUUUUAAUAUAAAUUAUACAAGUGUUUUAUGUCACUGUAAGUAUCAUAAAUGUGUAUGUAUUUCUUUUUUGUAUUGUAUUUUGCAGCUUCAUAUGUACAGUAUGUCAUAAGACGUGUUUUUUUGGUUUUGUUUUUUUACAUCUUUACCAUUAGUCACUGUCAUGUCGUUAUUUGCAUUUUACUAUGUGCCAAAUGUACUGUUCUCAAAGGAUGUGAAUGUCCAUUGUUUGGUUUGUAACCUAUUAAAU